UUGCGGGAUCGAGGCCCGUCUGUCCAGG
rnacentral:tRNA from 1 species